rnacentral:rRNA from 1 species
UACGAAGGGUGCUAGCGUUGUUCGGAAUUACUGGGCGUAAAGCGCGCGUAGGCGGCUAUGCAAGUCAGAGGUGAAAUCCCGGAGCUCAACUCCGGAACUGCCUUUGAAACUGCAUAGCUAGAGUAUUGGAGGGGAGUGCGGAAUUGCUAAUGUAGAGGUGAAAUUCGUAGAUAUUAGCAGGAACACCGGUGGCGAAGGCGGCACUCUGGACAAUUACUGACGCUAAAGUGCGAAAGCGUGGGGAGCAAACAGG